GAUGAAGAACGCAGCGAAAUGCGAUAAGUAAUGUGAAUUGCAGAAUUCAGUGAAUGAUCGAAUCUUUGAACGCACAUUGCGCCCGCCAGUAUUCUGGCGGGCAUGCCUGUUCGAGCGUCAUUACAACCCUCAGGCCCCCGGGCCUGGCGUUGGGGAUCGGCGGAAGCCCCCUGCGGGCACAACGCCGUCCCCCAAAUACAGUGGCGGUCCCGCCGCAGCUUCCAUUGCGUAGUAGCUAACACCUCGCAACUGGAGAGCGGCGCGGCCACGCCGUAAAACACCCAACUUCUGAAUGUUGACCUCGAAUCAGGUAGGAAUACCCGCUGAACUUAAGCAUAUCAAUAAGCGGAGGA
rnacentral:misc_RNA from 1 species